rnacentral:rRNA from 11 species
CAUUAAGGCCUAACUUCCCUAAAAGCAUCAGAUUCUAUGUGAUACUGGAAACUAAGCAGAGUCAGCCCUGGUUAGUACUUGAAUGGGAGACUGUCAACAAAUACCAGGUGCUGUAGGCU